rnacentral:rRNA from 1 species
CGGACGGGUGAGUAAUGCUUGGGAAUCUGGCUUAUGGAGGGGGAUAACUACGGGAAACUGUAGCUAAUACCGCGUAGUAUCGGAAGAUGAAAGUGUGGGACCGCAAGGCCACAUGCCAUAAGAUGAGCCCAAGUGGGAUUAGGUAGUUGGUUAGGUAAAGGCUGACCAAGCCGACGAUCUCUAGCUGGUCUGAGAGGAUGACCAGCCACACUGGAACUGAGACACGGUCCAGACUCCUACGGGAGGCAGCAGUGGGGAAUAUUGCACAAUGGGGGGAACCCUGAUGCAGCCAUGCCGCGUGAAUGAAGAAGGCCUUCGGGUUGUAAAGUUCUUUCGGUGAUGAGGAAGGUGUUUGUUUUAAUAGGACAAGCAAUUGACGUUAGUCACAGAAGAAGCACCGGCUAACUCCGUGCCAGCAGCCGCGGUAAUACGGAGGGUGCGAGCGUUAAUCGGAAUAACUGGGCGUAAAGGGCACGCAGGCGGUGACUUAAGUGAGAUGUGAAAGCCCCGGGCUUAACCUGGGAAUUGCAUUUCAUACUGGGUCGCUAGAGUACUUUAGGGAGGGGUAGAAUUCCACGUGUAGCGGUGAAAUGCGUAGAGAUGUGGAGGAAUACCGAAGGCGAAGGCAGCCCCUUGGGAAUGUACUGACGCUCAUGUGCGAAAGCGUGGGGAGCAAACAGGAUUAGAUACCCUGGUAGUCCACGCUGUAAACGCUGUCGAUUUGGGGAUUGGGUUUUAUGCUUGGUGGCCGUAGCUAACGUGAUAAAUCGACCGCCUGGGGAGUACGGGCGCAAGGUUUAAACUC